GUUCUUAACGUUCGGGUAAUCGCUGCAGAUCUUGAAUCUGUAGAGGAAAGUCCAUGCUCGCACGGUGCUGAGAUGCCCGUAGUGUUCGUGCCUAGCGAAGUCAUAAGCUAGGGCAGCCUUGAUAGGCUGACGGCAGGAAAAAAGCCUACGUCCUUUGGAUAUGGCUGAGUAUCCUUGAAAGUGCCACAGUGACGAAGUCUCACUAGAAAUGGUGAGAGUGGAACGCGGUAAACCCCUCGAGCGAGAAACCCAAAUUUUGGUAGGGGAACCUUCUUAACGGAAUUCAACGGAGAGAAGGACAGAAUGCUUUCUGUAGAUAGAUGAUUGCCGCCCGAGUACGAGGUGAUGAGCCGUUUGCAGUACGACGGAACAAAACAUGGCUUACAGAACGUUAGACCACUU
rnacentral:RNase_P_RNA from 1 species